AUAUCAAUAAGCGGAGGAAAAGAAACCAACAGGGAUUGCCUCAGUAACGGCGAGUGAAGCGGCAAGAGCUCAAAUUUUAAAUCUACCUUUUAGGUCGAGUUGUAAUUUGUAGAGGAACAUUCGGUGACGUCUAGGUCCGAGUCUUCUGGAAGGAAGCGCCGAUGAGGGUGAGAGCCCCGUACGACCAACGACUUAGCCAUGUGAAUGUCCUUCGAAGAGUCGAGUUGUUUGGGAAUGCAGCUCAAAGCGGGUGGUAACCUCCAUCCACGGCUAGAUAAUGGUGAGAGACCGAUAGCGCACAAGUA
rnacentral:rRNA from 1 species